UUAAGCGAAUAAGCGUACACGGUGGAUGCCUAGGCAAUCAGAGGCGAUGAAGGACGUGCUAAUCUGCGAUAAGCGUCGGUAAGGUGAUAUGAACCGUUAUACCCGACGAUUUCCGAAUGGGGAAACCCAAUAUCCAAUGGAUAUUAUCAUGACGUGAAUACAUAGCGUCAUGAAGCGAACCGGGAGAACUGAAACAUCUCAGUACCCCGAGGAAAAGAAAUCAACCGAGAUUCCCCUAGUAGCGGCGAGCGAACGGGGAACAGCCCAGAGUCUUAAUCAAUAGCAGCAUCAGGAGAACGGUCUGGAAAGUCCGGCAGUAAAGGGUGAUAGCCCCGUAUCCGAAGAUGCUGUUAUUGUGAACUCGACGAGUAGGGCGGGACACGUGUUAUCCUGUCUGAAUAUGGGGGGACCAUCCUCCAAGGCUAAAUACUCCUGAUUGACCGAUAGUGAACCAGUACCGUGAGGGAAAGGCGAAAAGAACCCCGGCGAGGGGAGUGAAAAAGAACCUGAAACCGUGUACGUACAAGCAGUAGGAGCCUCUUUAUGGGGUGACUGCGUACCUUUUGUAUAAUGGGUCAGCGACUUAUAUUCUGUAGCAAGGUUAACCGUAUAGGGGAGCCGUAGGNCCAUCACUCAAGUGCCUCGCACUGAGUGAUUAAGCAAACCACUCGAAAACAGCGCAGCGUUUACCUACAAAAUGGGUUGAUUUUUUCAAGCCGUCGCGCAGUGUACAUUGAAGUACACGAGCAACGGAAGUUAAAAAAUCGAGACAGUUUGGCAGUAAAAGCAAGCGGGACAUUUGAGGAUGGGGUGACUGCGUACCUUUUGUAUAAUGGGUCAGCGACUUAUAUUCUGUAGCAAGGUUAACCGUAUAGGGGAGCCGUAGGGAAACCGAGUCUUAACUGGGCGAAUGAGUUGCAGGGUAUAGACCCGAAACCCGGUGAUCUAUCCAUGGGCAGGUUGAAGGUUGGGUAACACUAACUGGAGGACCGAACCGACUAAUGUUGAAAAAUNGGAAACCGAGUCUUAACUGGGCGAAUGAGUUGCAGGGUAUAGACCCGAAACCCGGUGAUCUAUCCAUGGGCAGGUUGAAGGUUGGGUAACACUAACUGGAGGACCGAACCGACUAAUGUUGAAAAAUUAGCGGAUGACUUGUGGAUGGGGGUGAAAGGCCAAUCAAACCGGGAGAUAGCUGGUUCUCCCCGAAAGCUAUUUAGGUAGCGCCUCGUGAACUCAUCUUCGGGGGUAGAGCACUGUUUCGACUAGGGGGUCAUCCCGACUUACCAACUCGAUGCAAACUGCGAAUACCGAAGAAUGUUAUCACGGGAGACACACGGCGGGUGCUAACGUCCGUCGUGAAGAGGGAAACAACCCAGACCGCCAGCUAAGGUCCCAAAGUCAUGGUUAAGUGGGAAACGAAGUGGGAAGGCUCAGACAGCCAGGAUGUUGGCUUAGAAGCAGCCAUCAUUUAAAGAAAGCGUAAUAGCUCACUGGUCGAGUCGGCCCGCGCGGAAGAUGUAACGGGGCUAAACCAUGCACCGAAGCUGCGGCAGCGACACUAAGUGUUGUUGGGUAGGGGAGCGUUCUGUAAGCCUACGAAGGUGUACUGUGAGGUAUGCUGGAGGUAUCAGAAGUGCGAAUGCUGACAUAAGUAACGAUAAUGCGGGUGAAAAACCCGCACGCCGGAAGACCAAGGGUUCCUGUCCAACGUUAAUCGGGGCAGGGUGAGUCGACCCCUAAGGCGAGGCUGAAAAGCGUAGUCGAUGGGAAACGGGUUAAUAUUCCCGUACUGGUGGUAACUGCGAUGGGGGAACGGAGAAGGCUAGGUUGUCCGGGCGACGGUCGUCCCGGUUCAAGCAUGUAGGCAGAGUGAUUAGGCAAAUCCGGUCACUUAAUGCUGAGGUGUGAUGACGAGCCACUAAGGUGGUGAAGCAAUUGAUGCCCUGCUUCCAGGAAAAGCCUCUAAGCUUCAGGUUACCAACAAUCGUACCCCAAACCGACACAGGUGGUCAGGUAGAGAAUACUCAGGCGCUUGAGAGAACUCGGGUGAAGGAACUAGGCAAAAUGGUGCCGUAACUUCGGGAGAAGGCACGCUGGCGGUAAGUGAAGUCCCUCGCGGACGGAGCCGAAGCCAGUCGAAGAUACCAGCUGGCUGCAACUGUUUAUUAAAAACACAGCACUGUGCAAACACGAAAGUGGACGUAUACGGUGUGACGCCUGCCCGGUGCUGGAAGGUUAAUUGAUGGGGUUAUCCUUAGGGAGAAGCUCUUGAUCGAAGCCCCAGUAAACGGCGGCCGUAACUAUAACGGUCCUAAGGUAGCGAAAUUCCUUGUCGGGUAAGUUCCGACCUGCACGAAUGGCGUAAUGAUGGCCAGGCUGUCUCCACCCGAGACUCAGUGAAAUUGAACUCGCUGUGAAGAUGCAGUGUACCCGCGGCAAGACGGAAAGACCCCGUGAACCUUUACUAUAGCUUGACACUGAACAUUGAGCCUUGAUGUGUAGGAUAGGUGGGAGACUAUGAAAUGUGGACGCCAGUCUGCAUGGAGUCAACCUUGAAAUACCACCCUUUAACGUUUGAUGUUCUAACCUAGGUCCAUAAUCUGGAUCGGGGACCGUGUCUGGUGGGUAGUUUGACUGGGGCGGUCUCCUCCUAAAGAGUAACGGAGGAGCACGAAGGUUGGCUAAGCAUGGUCGGACAUCAUGCGGUUAGUGCAAAGGCAUAAGCCAGCUUGACUGUGAGAGUGACGGCUCGAGCAGGUACGAAAGUAGGUCUUAGUGAUCCGGUGGUUCUGAAUGGAAGGGCCAUCGCUCAACGGAUAAAAGGUACUCCGGGGAUAACAGGCUGAUACCGCCCAAGAGUUCAUAUCGACGGCGGUGUUUGGCACCUCGAUGUCGGCUCAUCACAUCCUGGGGCUGAAGUAGGUCCCAAGGGUAUGGCUGUUCGCCAUUUAAAGUGGUACGCGAGCUGGGUUUAGAACGUCGUGAGACAGUUCGGUCCCUAUCUGCCGUGGGCGUUGGAAGAUUGAGAGGGGUUGCUCCUAGUACGAGAGGACCGGAGUGAACGCACCACUGGUGUUCGGGUUGUCAUGCCAAUGGCAUUGCCCGGUAGCUAAGUGCGGAAGAGAUAACCGCUGAAAGCAUCUAAGCGGGAAACUUGCCUCGAGAUGAGUCUUCCCUGUCACCUAGAGUGACCUAAAGGAACGUUUAAGACUAAGACGUUGAUAGGCUGGGUGUGUAAGCGUAGCGAUACGUUGAGCUAACCAGUACUAAUGAACCGUGAGGCUUAACCU
rnacentral:rRNA from 1 species